GAUGAACGCUGGCGGCGUGCCUAAUACAUGCAAGUCGAACGCUGGAGAUCUAGCUUGCUAGAUCGAAGGAGUGGCGAACGGGUGAGUAAUACAUAAGCAACCUACCCACGAAGACUGGGAUAAUCUCUGGAAACGGGGACUAAUACCGGAUAGGUAAUCGGAAGGCAUCUUCUGGUUAUUAAAGGUUAAAAACACUGGUGGAUGGGCUUAUGGCGCAUUAGUUAGUUGGUGAGGUAACGGCCCACCAAGACGAUGAUGCGUAGCCGGCCUGAGAGGGUGAACGGCCACAUUGGGACUGAGACACGGCCCAGACUCCUACGGGAGGCAGCAGUAGGGAAUUUUCGGCAAUGGGGGCAACCCUGACCGAGCAACGCCGCGUGAGUGAAGACGGCCUUCGGGUUGUAAAGCUCUGUUGUAAGGGAAGAACGGUAGAUAGAGAAUAUCUAAGUGACGGUACCUUACCAGAAAGCCACGGCUAACUACGU
rnacentral:rRNA from 1 species